rnacentral:rRNA from 1 species
UGUGAUCAAGCUACUAAGGGUAUACGGUGGAUGUCUAGGCGUGAUGAGGCGAUGAAGGACGCGGCAGGCUGCGAAAAGCCCAGGGGAGCUGUCAAACGAGCUUUGAUCCUGGGAUCUCCGAAUGGGGCAACCCGGCGCCACAGUGCAAGCUGAUGGCGUCACCGGCGGCUGAAUGCAUAGGCCGUCGGGGCGAACGCAGGGAACUGAAACAUCUAAGUACCUGCAGGAAAGGAAAUCAACAAGGGCUGCGCGGGCGAUUCGUCGCUCGCGGAGCCCGGAGACUCCGUCAGUAGCGGCGAGCGAAAGCGGAUCAGCCCAAACCCGCCGAAAGGCGGGGGUUGCGGGCGCCGAUCGGGAGUUACAAAGGCAGCGGCAGCCGAAGAGUCUGGAAAGGCUCACCACAGAAGGUGACAGUCCUGUAGGCAAAACCGCCAGCCCUCCGCGGGGCUCCUGCGGGCGUUAGUCCGCGGGGGCCCUAACGGUUGGCGUUCCAGAGUAGCGCGGAGCUCGUGGAACUCCGUGUGAAACUGGGGGGCCCACCCUCCAAGGCUAAGUACUCCAUCACGACCGAUAAAGGACAAGUAGGGCGACCGAACGAUGAAAAGAACCCCUAUUAGGGGAGUGAAAAGUACCUGAAACCGUAUACCUACAAGUGGUCGGAGCCCUAUGCCCCGGUCUUCGGGCCGGGGAACGGGUGACGGCGUACCUUUUGCAUAAUGGACCGGCGAGUUGCCGUUUGCGGCCUGCCUAAGUCCCUCAGGGACGGAGGCACAGCGAAAGCGAGUCUGAACAGGGCGUGGGCGCCUUUGGCGCCCGGGUCGCAGGUGGCAGACCCGAAACCGAGUGAUCUACCCAUGGCCAGGUUGAAUCCGUCGUAACAGGCGGAGGAGGACCGAACCCGUUGACGUUGAAAAGUCAUGGGAUGAGCUGUGGGGAGGAGUAAAAGUCUAAUCAAACUCGGAGAUAUCUGGUUCUCUUCGAAAUAGCUUUAGGGCUAGCCUCGGGACACUACGUCGUGGGGGUAGAGCACUGGAUGAAACGCGGGACCCACCAGGUUGCCGCCUUCAACCAAACUCCGAAUACCACGACAGGGCCCCUUCGGGGACCCGCCAUUAUCCCGGGAGUCAGACUGCGGGGGAUAAGCUCCGUGGUCAAGAGGGAAACAGCCCAGACCGCCAGCUAAGGUCCCAAAACGGUGCUAAGUGGUUAAGGAAGUCGAAUUGCUGAGACAGCCAGGAUGUUGGCUUAGAAGCAGCCACCAUUUAAAGACCGCGUAAUAGCCCACUGGCCGAGCAACUCGGCGCCGAUAAUGAUCGGGGCUCAAGCAUCGUACCGAAGCUGCGGACCCGCGGUAGUAGGGUGGCUACGGUCCCGGCGCGAGCCGGGAAGGCGGCUUUGAAGGCCGCUGCUGCGGGUGGUAGGAGAGCGUUGCUGCCGGCGCUGAAGCGGUACCGCAAGGAGCCGUGGAGCGGCAGCAAGUGAGAAUGCCGGUAUGAGUAACGAUAAAGCAGGUGAGAAUCCUGCUCGCCGAAAGCCUAAGGUUUCCUGGGGAAGGUAAAUCCGCCCAGGGUUAGUCGGACCCUAAGCCGAGGCCGAAAGGCGUAGGUGAUGGACGGCAGGUUAAUAUUCCUGCACUGUGCGCCGAAGGUUUGCACCAGAGGAGUGACGCAUCGCCAAGGUGGAUCGCGUGGUUAGUCGCGCGCGUUGGGGGCGGCGGGGUGAUCGGAUGAACAGUCCGAUCGCCAGCCUCGCCGCCAGCUCGAGGCCGAUUUGGUUGCCGAAGUCCGCGGAGGCGGUGCCAAGAAAAUCUUCGCUGGGACGACGGUGCGCACCCGUACUAAAACUGACACAGGUAGGCGAGGAGAGAAUCCUAAGGCGCUCGAGAGAACCGUCCUUAAGGAACUAGGCAAUUUGACCCCGUAACUUCGGGAUAAGGGGUCCCUCCUCGGCCGGCUGCAACCCUGUAGCGGGCCGAGAGGGCGCAGAGAAACGGCUCUGGCGACUGUUUAUCAAAAACACAGGUCUCUGCCAACUCGCAAGAGGAUGUAUAGAGACUGACGCCUGCCCGGUGCCGGAAGGUUAAGGAAGCAGGUCAUUCCGACUUGUCGGGAGAAGCUUGCGACCGAAGCCCCGGUAAACGGCGGCUCUAACUAUGAGAGUCCUAAGGUAGCGAA